rnacentral:rRNA from 1 species
AAACGUAGGAGGCGAGCGUUAUCCGGAUUUACUGGGCGUAAAGAGCGUGUAGGCGGUUUAGUAAGUCGGACGUGAAAGCUCCCGGCUCAACUGGGAGAGGCCGUUCGAUACUGCUGGACUUGAGGGCAGUAGAGGGAGGUGGAAUUCCGGGUGUAGCGGUGAAAUGCGUAGAUAUCCGGAGGAACACCAGUGGCGAAGGCGGCCUCCUGGACUGUCACUGACGCUAAGACGCGAAAGCUAGGGUAGCAAACGGGAUUAGAAACCCCAGUAGUCC